GACGAACGCUGGCGGCGUGCCUAAUACAUGCAAGUCGAACGCAGUGGGGACGGGUGAGUAACACGUGGGUAACCUCCCAUCAGAGGGGAUAACACUUGGAUACAGGUGCUAAACCCAUACUGAUUGAUGGACCCGCGGUGCAUGAGCUAGUGGGGGAGGUAACGGCUCACCUAGGCCACGAUGCAUAGCCGACCUGAGAGGGUGAUCGGCCACACUGGGACUGAGACACGGCCCAGAAUCCUACGGGAGGCAGCAGUAGGGAAUCUUCGGCAAUGGGCGAAAGUCUGACCGAGCAACGCCGCGUGAGUGAAGAAGGUUUUCGGAUCGUAAAGCUCUGUUGUUAGAGAAGCGGUAUCUAACCAGAAAGCCACGGCUAACUACGUGCCAGCAGCCGCGGUAAUAC
rnacentral:rRNA from 1 species